CCUACGGGUGGCAGCAGUGAGGAAUAUUGGUCAAUGGGCGGAAGCCUGAACCAGCCAAGUAGCGUGCGGGAUGAAGGCCCUACGGGUCGUAACCCGCUUUUGCACGGGGAUAACACCCUCCACUAGUGGAGGUCUGCAGGUACCGUGCGUAUAAGGGCUGGCUAAUUCCGUGCCAGCAGCCGCGGUAAUACGGGGGGCUCGGGCGUUAUCCGGAUUCAUUGGGCUUAAAGGGAGCGUAGGCGGGCGUUCAAGUCAGCGGUAAAAUCGCGCGGCUCAACCGCGCCCCGCAGUUGAAACUGGACGCCUUGAGUGAACAACAGGCAGGCGGAAUUCGGGGUGUAGCGGUGAAAUGCAUAGAUAUCACGAGGAACCCCGAUGGCGAAGGCAGCCUGCCGGGGUGCGACUGACGCUGAGGCUCGAAGGUGCGGGUAUCAAACAGGAUUAGAUACCCCUGUAGUC
rnacentral:rRNA from 1 species